rnacentral:rRNA from 1 species
GGGGAAUUUUGGACAAUGGGCGAAAGCCUGAUCCAGCCAUGCCGCGUGCAGGAUGAAGGCCUUCGGGUUGUAAACUGCUUUUGUACGGAACGAAAAGGUCUUUUCUAAUAAAGAAGGCUCAUGACGGUACCGUAAGAAUAAGCACCGGCUAACUACGUGCCAGCAGCCGCGGUAAUACGUAGGGUGCAAGCGUUAAUCGGAAUUACUGGGCGUAAAGCGUGCGCAGGCGGUUAUAUAAGACAGAUGUGAAAUCCCCGGGCUCAACCUGGGAACUGCAUUAGUGACUGUAUAGCUAGAGUGCGGCAGAGGGGGAUGGAAUUCCGCGUGUAGCAGUGAAAUGCGUAGAUAUGCGGAGGAACACCGAUGGCGAAGGCAAUCCCCUGGGCCUGCACUGACGCUCAUGCACGAAAGCGUGGGGAGCAAAC